rnacentral:lncRNA from 1 species
CCCCUUGUUUAGCGUAUCAUCAAGAAAUAACUAUAAAUAAGGGCAACCGGCAGCCCAAGGGGCUGCUCAGUCUGGAGUAGCCAUUUUUUUAUUCCUCCUAAUAAACUUGCUUUCACUUUACAGACUCGCCCUGAAUUCUUUCUUGUGUGAAAUCCAAGAGCCCUCUCUUGGGGUUGGAUCGGGACCCUGUUCCUGUAACAAGUCCACAAUGCCAGAGAAUUAAAGAGAACCACAAAGCUGAACCUCAAAAAGUUAGCCUGGCGAGGGGAGGAUGAUGAGAUUUCCCCUGUUGUCACAUAAACAAGGAAGUAAAGGGGGCCCCUUGUGCUCUCAGAACUCCAAGCAUGAAACGAUAGCAAAGGGAAAAACAGCUAAGUGUUUCCUGGCUGAAUUUUAUUUUGCUUUCAGUUUCUGCCAUUUCAGUUCCUGUUAUCGUGCUUUGAGGUGCACUGAACUGCAGCAAACCCAGGGGAUCCAAGGCUACGUUGAAAAGCCUUUGACCACAGUGCAGGGAGCAGAAGACAUUAAUGACGUGAUGUCGACACAGCCCGCACUCAGGAUCCUCCAGGAAAAGAACACAGAGAUAACCCCGGAUCGAUGGUACUUUUUGAAAAUGCUUUAUUGCAAAAGAGUGGCUAGGGUUUUACAAGGGCUAUGAAGAAACAUAUUAAGGUUAAUAAAGCUUUUUAUUG